rfam:Chloroflexi bacterium RBG_13_53_26 RBG_13_scaffold_3420, whole genome shotgun sequence.
AAAGAAAUAGAAUUGUUGCCAUAGAUAGCAGGUGUCCCUAGGGCUUAAAGCGUUUGCCUGCCGAGGCAUAUCAGUCAAUCCUGGAACUGAACUGGUAUAUAUCAAGCCCCGGGCAACGAUUCCCGGGGUUUAUCUUUUCAAGC